rnacentral:rRNA from 1 species
UACGGGAGGCAGCAGUGGGGAAUAUUGCACAAUGGGCGAAAGCCUGAUGCAGCUAUGCCGCGUGUAUGAAGAAGGCCUUAGGGUUGUAAAGUACUUUCAUCGGGGAGGAAAAAACAAAACUAAUAAUUUUAUUUCUUGACGUUACCCGAAAAAGAAGCACCGGCUAACUCCGUGCCAGCAGCCGCGGUAAUACGGAGGGUGCUAGCGUUAAUCAGAAUUACUGGGCGUAAAGAGCACGUAGGUGGUUUUUUUAAAGUCAGAUGUGAAAUCCCUGGGCUUAACCUGGAACUGCAUUUUGAAACUGAAAUACUAGAGUAUCGUAGAGGGAGGUAGAAUUCUAGGUGUAGCGGUGAAAUGCGUAGAUAUCUGGAGGAAUACCUGUGGCGAAAGCGGCCUCCUAAACGAAUACUGACACUGAGGUGCAAAAGCGUGGGGAGCAAACAGGGAUUUAGAUACC